rfam:Feline infectious peritonitis virus, complete genome.
ACUUUUAAAGUAAAGUGAGUGUAGCGUGGCUAUAACUCUUCUUUUACUUUAACUAGCCUUGUGCUAGAUUUGUCUUCGGACACCAACUCGAACUAAACGAAAUAUUUGUCUCUCUAUGAAACCAUAGAAGACAAGCGUUGAUUAUUUCACCAGUUUGGCAAUCACUCCUAGGAACGGGGUUGAGAGAACGGCGCACCAGGGUUCCGUCCCUGUUUGGUAAGUCGUCUAGUAUUAGCUGCGGCGGUUCCGCCCGUCGUAGUUGGGUAGACCGGGUUCCGUCCUGUGAUCUCCCUCGCCGGCCGCCAGGAGAAUGAGUUCCAAACAAUUUAAG